GCCAGUGAGGGAGUAUUUUGUCAUCACCAAAGACAAGCAUGCCCCCUCAAAGUGAGCAUGUUGGUUCAAUGCACUUCCAGGGUCCCAAUGCACAGUGUCCUGCUAAAGAGCUCAGCUUGCGCAUGAGAAAAGGGCUCUGAGCAGCGUAACCGUAUUUAAUGACACGCUUACCCUGCCUUUGUUGGUCACUUGUCUCUGGUGACUCCUUAAAUGCUG